GUGUGUGUGUGUGUGUGUGUGUUUGUAAGCCCUGUGAAGUUGGCCGAAUACCAAGUUUACACACCAAUCAACUUAUCACCUGAAAAUCAAAUGGACACCCGAACUCAGGUGUUCAGUUGAAAUAACGUCAUUUUCGUGUUCCUCUCACUAAAUUUCAUCAGAAAAAAUAAAAAAAAUAUGAGUGUUUCUUUGACACCAAUUUCCUAAUUUUUUUUACACAGUGUGUGUGAAAUUUUAUGCUCCAUUUUCCCCCUUUACACAGAAAAAUCUGCGCAUGCGCAAAUGUCAUAUCGGAUGUUGUUUAUAAUGGCGGAAGUGAAAUAUGUUGUGACUUACAAGUGACCUCUUCCUUGAAUAUUUGAUGUCACAGUGCUGUUUAAAGAUUCAUCAGUAUGUGAUAUUUGCCCAGAUGGAUCUUAUCCACAUAUUUGGACAAAGAAUAGAAAUUUUCAUGGGAUUUAUCUCCAGAGGUCUAAUGCAGAAUAAAAAUUAAGAGUCUGGACCGAACCGAAUAUGUCACUUGGUGUAUCAAUGGACUAAACCUAUCUUGAGCUGGUACCGGUUUUCUAAGCAACAAUGUUGGUAGGCAGCAGUGGCCCACUGUCUCAGUUUUGCCACAGUCCAGGGUCAGCACCAAGCUACAUGUAUAGGACUCCUACCUGAUUACUAAAAGUAUCGUUAUGAAGAAAAUUUACAAGACUUCUUGAUGACUGGGAAGACAUAUUAAAUCUGGUUGAAUUUACACACUUGGUUGAUUAGCUUUGUCAACACAAUAGCCAAAUAUAAACUAGUUUACUAUUUUAGCAUUAUUUAACAAGUAUAAGUCAGACAGUUUAGAAUUUUAUGAUCCUAUAGUAAAGGAAAAAUUACAGUGUUUAGAUAUAUUCAAUUCAUCUCAGUUGUUCUUAAUGCAUAUGCAUGUACAUGUAUAAAUACAUGUAUAUGACUUUUU